rnacentral:rRNA from 1 species
AUACGGAGGGUGCAAGCGUUACUCGGAAUCACUGGGCGUAAAGCGCGCGCAGGCGGCUAUUUAAGUUGGAUGUGAAAGCCUACGGCUCAACCGUAGAACUGCAUCCAAAACUAUUUAGCUAGAGUGUGGGAGAGGAAGAUGGAAUUAGUUGUGUAGGGGUAAAAUCCGUAGAGAUAACUAGGAAUACCAAAAGCGAAGGCAAUCUUCUGGAACACUACUGACGCUGAGGCGCGAAAGCGUGGGGAGCGAACAGGAUUAGAAACCCUAGUAGUCC